rnacentral:rRNA from 1 species
AACGAACGCUGGCGGCAGGCUUAACACAUGCAAGUCGAGCGACCCGCAAGGGGAGCGGCAGACGGGUGAGUAACACGUGGGAACGUGCCCUAAGGUUCGGAAUAGCUCCGGGAAACUGGAAUUAAUACCGAAUGUGUCCGAGAGGAGAAAGAUUUAUCGCCUUAGGAUCGGCCCGCGUUGGAUUAGCUAGUUGGUGGGGUAAAAGCCUACCAAGGCGACGAUCCAUAGCUGGUUUGAGAGAACGACCAGCCACACUGGGACUGAGACACGGCCCAGACUCCUACGGGAGGCAGCAGUGGGGAAUCUUGGACAAUGGGCGCAAGCCUGAUCCAGCCAUGCCGCGUGGAUGAUGAAGGCCUUAGGGUUGUAAAAUCCUUUCGUCAGGGACGAUAAUGACGGUACCUGAAGAAGAAGCCCCGG